GACGAACGCUGGCGGCGUGCUUAACACAUGCAAGUCGAACGGAAAGGCCCUGCUUUUGUGGGGUGCUCGAGUGGCGAACGGGUGAGUAACACGCGAGUAACCUGCCCUUGUCUUUGGGAUAACUCCACGAAACUGGGGCUAAUACCGGAUAGGAGCUCCUGCUGCAUGGUGGGGGUUGGAAAGUGUCGGCGGUUGGGGAUGGACUGGCGGCUUAUCAGCUUGUUGGUGGGGUAGUGGCUUACCAAGGUUUUGACGGGUAGCCGGCCUGAGAGGGUGACCGGCCACAUUGGGACUGAGAUACGGCCCAGACUGCAACGGGAGGCAGCAGUGGGAAAUAUUGCGCAGUGGGCGGAAGCCUGAUGCAGCAACGCCGCGUGCGGGAAGACGGCCUUCGGGUUGUAAACCGCUUUCGCCUGUGACGAAGCGUGAGUGACGGUAAUGGGUAAAGAAGCACCGGCUAACUACGUG
rnacentral:rRNA from 1 species